GUGAAGACCACGCUAGGACAUUUCCCUUGAACUGAGUCCAAAUAGACACCUUUAUUCAUUGAUCUGGCCAUUAUUGCAAAGCACCACUGUCGUCAGGGGUGGGCUGGUGGAUAAACCAUUACCUGUGGUUCUGUCCCCUCACCUGUUUAGAAAGAGGCAUACACGCCACAGUCCAAAAUCACAGCCAACCCUUUUGGAUCGUUGUUGAAAUAUUUUGCUUUCAAAGACCUAUACAUUUGUGCUGUGUGACACACAGAACUUCACAUUCAAAGCACACUCAAGCCAUACAACACAGCACCAUCAAAAGCCUCUGACAAUGAACACUAUAGGAGAAGAUAACACCAGCAGGUGCUCAAGGACAAAGAGGAAAACUCUGCCUCAGCAGAAAAUAAUAAAUCAGUUAUGCAAGACAUCAGUUCCAUAACUCCCCAGAUGGACCACCCUGAGGCAGGGCCCUGAGGAGAGGGACCUGUGAGAAGGUGGAACUGCCAUAUGACAGAAGACUGAGAUCAGGCAGAGCAGGCAACAGAUGGCACACAGACAGCAGAGUUGGGGACAGAUAUGCAGGGACAGACUGGCAGAGACAGGGAGUCUCAGUGCCGGGGUCAGCGGAGCUCCCAAGUGACCAGCGACAGGGCCAACAGCCAACUGACUGCCUUCUCUACUCUGACCUCCCUUCGUUAGUAACCCCCUCCCUGGGCUUCUCCUCAGACCUGGGGCUGCUAGGGGGACCUAUUUGUGGUCCGCCACUCGUCUGAGGGGAAGGGGAUAGAGACUGAAGGAACAACAGCUGCUGAUGGGGACAUCACGCUUCCCAUGGAAGAGCAGCAUCCUCCUGAGAGAAGGUGCUGUAAUCUGCAAUAAUCGAAUUCUCAGACAUGCAUGAUAGCCAUAGUAUGUCUCGAAGCCACAUUGUACGUGAGUGAACACAUGACAUUGAACAUAUUGACACAUGACGUCGUGUGAUCUAUAUUGUAUUUACAAAAACAAUCAACAGUGCAAGUCAUAUGAUGAUCUUACAUGGAAAGCUCUUGAAAACGUUCACAGACACACACAAACAGAGAUAUAAAAGCAGUGUUAAAUAGACAAAGUGUUAUUAAAUGUAUUUUGUGUAAAGAGAAUCUUCUGGGGUGCCAGAGGAAUGCAAAGAAUUGUAGGCACUUUUUUCUGACAUGGUAUAGUGAUGCCAUCUAGAGUUGCAAUGUGUAACAUUCACACACAGCAAAGAGCCCAGUGGGUUCACUAGUAGCAAUACAAGGUGACAUCAUCUGUCUGAUAAACAGUCUUGUCUGUUUAAUAAUUUAUUUAAUAAAGUGUUAUUUACUUAAUUGACUUAA
rnacentral:lncRNA from 1 species